GCCCCCAGAAUGGCCCCGGGGCCUCCCCUUGCCCUCCCUGGGGCGGAGGCUGACGGGCGGCUUCUGAUCCUAGGGAUCGCGGCAGAACAUCACCGGGACCAGAGUGAAGAGAAAGUGUACGAAAUAAUUGCAAUCCUGGAGCCCAUGAAGAAUGACGCAGAGCCCUCGGUGCGUGAAGAGACCGCCCGCACCAUCCGGACUGUGAGGCAGCAUCUCCACUGGCUGCAACGCCCGCGGGAUCCGUGGUACAUGCUGGCGGUGCACUGCUGCUUGCCUCGAAGAUUGUGACAGGCGCCGAAGCAGAAGCCAGAGCCAGAGCCCGAGCCCCAGAAGAAUCCGGAAGAAACUUCAGAAUCUGAAGACUCCUCCCUGGAUUCAUCUCCGUGCCAGAGCACGGACAGCUAGCGGGCCUCCAGCCCACAGGGGUUUUGGAUGCCUCCAGGAAAGGAGCCUCCAGAACCCCCCCCCACCACCACAAAGAAAUUAAAGAAAUUCCAUCUGUUUAUCCAGAGCCUCCUGGGGUCACUCCUCAGCGUCCUCCACAGCCCCCGGCAUCCUCCCAGCUCCGCACCCGCCUCCCUCGAGCAGCUCCCGUCCUCCCGGAGCUCAGGGCCCAGACCGGGACGCCAUAUCCCCCUCACAGCCCCACAGGGGCAGAGUAGAGGAGGACAAGGACCUCUCCCCACCUCCUGAGCACCCCCAGGAGGAGGAAGGCCCCGCCGCUCUCCUUCCUCACCUUGCUGCCUGCUGGGACGCUGUGAGCUCGGGAGGAGCCAUCCCCGAAUCCCUCCCGACUCCCCCGACCCCCUUGUCCUUCGAGCGCCUCGUCCCACAGCCUUGCGUUCACGGCCCCCAUCCUUCAACUCCGUCCCAGGACGUGGUCAGGGAGUCUCAGGGAGCCAGGAGGUCUCCCCGGAGCCUUCUCCAGACCAAACAAAGCCCGGUUCCCUCGGCCGCUCCUCACAGGACAU